UACGAAGGGAGCUAGCGUUGUUCGGAAUCACUGGGCGUAAAGCGCACGUAGGCGGAUGUGCCAGUCAAGGGUGAAAUCCCGGGGCUCAACCUCGGAACUGCCUCUGAUACAGCUGGUCUCGAGUCCGGAAGAGGUGGGUGGAAUUCCUAGUGUAGAGGUGAAAUUCGUAGAUAUUAGGAAGAACACCGGUGGCGAAGGCGGUCCACUGGUCCGGUACUGGCGCUGAGGUGCGAAAGCGUGGGGAGCAAACAGG
rnacentral:rRNA from 1 species